UUCAGAAAAUUUAUAGAGUGUAGUUCCGGAUCAGUGUUGUCCGAACAAAUCAAAAUUUUAAAACACGAAUUUAAUGUACAAUUUUUACUUAUAAAAAAUAUCACUAAAAGGGACUCUGUAACAAUGGAUGCGAGACAACAAAAUGCUCUAAGUGGCGAUGUGGUCACUUUGAACGAGUAUCAUAAGCGCUUGUCGAAUUUACUGGAUCGUAUGGACAGGCUGGAACAAGCCCUAAAAGCGAUUCCGUUAGUUCGUCCUCGACAUGAUAAUGCUAUAAAAGGUGACGAAGAAUUGGAAGGGAAUUCUGUAGAAUAUCAACAGCUGAAAGAAGAUAAUGAAGAUGUGGUGUCGGUAGAGAAGAUGGAGUUCGAUGACGAAGAAAAAGAUAAUGUUAAAGAGAAAUUUGAGGGAUUAAAAGAAUCUGUCGAAUAAGGAUGACGAUGCCUUGUAUGUGCUGAAAUCGGUAUCGACAUGAUAGAAUUUACAUCAAUAUUUUCAAAAUGGAUGCAGAUAUUUUAACAAUGAUAUAACGCAUAGACUUUUGAGCUGUGAUACGAGUAAGCAGCGAACGCUUUGAAUAUGUUAAUAUUGUUGUGUUGUUUAAAAAAUUAUAAAAAUCGAUUAGUUAAUAAAUAUCUGUGUCUUAAAAUAAAA